CUCACCAUCUCUGAGAACUUCCUCAUUCUUCAUUCUUUGUCUUAUUUUUUUUUCCAAAAUGCAGGUGUAGAGAAGUGGGUUGAAGGCAUGAAUUGGGCAGGAACCAGCCACUGGAUUAGUGCCACAAGGAAACCAAUCGAGUCUUCAGCUGGAGCAACAGAAGCCUUUUCCAAGAAUUUCAAGAAUUUCACAUUCUAUUGGAUCCUCAAAGCUGGACAUAUGGUUCCAGCAGAUGCUAGUGAUAUUGCAAGGAAGGUGAUGAAGGAAAUUGUAGGUGUCAAGGAUCAUUAAAUUCUUUUUGUAUGCAAAAGAUUUAAUGUUGGUUCUUGAGUAUUCAUGAUGAAGAAAAAUCUAUCUAGUCCUAGGACAUCCAUGUAAGAAACCAAGAAUGAAAUUGAGAGAUUGUAAUGAUACUUGGGGGAAAAGAGUGUUUGUCACUGG
rnacentral:lncRNA from 1 species